rnacentral:lncRNA from 1 species
UGCUCGAGAUCAAAUUUUGGGGCGUUACAUAAAACCAAUACGUUGAAUCCCAAAUAGAAAAAACAGUCGGACAAGCCUUUACUUCUAACUAGAGAGCCACUGGGACAAUCCCCAGCUGACCCGAUUCAAACUGAAAUCAAAUAACUAGAGUACUACAGCAAUAACAAAUCUAAUAGAAUGAGUCCUCGAACUAUGAGGACUCCCCAAAGUCGGGAUGUAAGUGGAGAUGCUUGAAAUCAAUCACGCUGCGAGAACUGAGCACCAGGACCUACAUUUCAAUCACGCUGCUAGAACUGAGCACCAGGACCUACAUUAUAAGACAAUGUAGCACAUAGACAUAUAUGUGGAUCAGUACUUCUGAAAUGUACUGAAUAUGCGGGGGUGAAUCCAUAAGUAAAACAGUAACUCAAUAUUCAUAAAAACUUUUAAUUGAUGCAUGCCAAGUGUAAAUGACUCAUCUUAAGCUUGAAUAACUGAAAACUGAAAAUCAUAAAUCAUGAAUAAUAAAGCAUACUAUAUAAAUCUUGUGAGCCAUAUCACUUAGUUCUAAAAGUUAUACUGUUACUGAUUAUUUUGGGAAGUUUUUUUAACAUGCAUAAACCAUGUGAGCUAUCAUGGAGUCCAACAUCUCACACCCACGCUGGUAGAAUUGUUCUACCCUUGUCAUCGGAAUAGAACCUAACUAGAAUGAUCACUAUACCCAACCCAUAUUGGGACUUAAACCUAAGGUGGAACGUAGUUCUGGGGCAUGUGACCUUGGAAUCAUACCCAACUAGGUGCUAAAUACUACUCCCGUAUCACUUAUAUGUUCGCUCUUUAGGAAAUCCACUUUAAAAUAACAUAGAGGUUUAUAAUGAAUACCAAUUAUGCUUCUCUUUGCUUUGAACUAUAAUCAAAAUGAAUAAAUAUGGAUCAAUUCACAACCAAACUUUAUUCUCAAUAACAAUCUUCAAAUACUUCAAUGAUAUAAAGUCAAGAUAGUGCAAUCUCAUUCAUAAUAUAAAUCAUGCAAGUUAAAAACAUAAACAUAAGCACUUCUUGAUAUACUUAAAGCUUUAAAUCUCAUGAUAAUCACAUGCUUCAAGAAUAUAUCAACUUGGGUAUAAACCCUACUUCAAAAAAAUUAAAUAAAAAUCUUGAAAUCAUCCAAUUUGGGCACAAAGGUAAAAAGAUACCCUUGUUCAUAACCCUGCAUAUCUUAUUAGGCUUAAUUUGAUGUAGAAGUUUGACUUUGAACUCUUUGAGAUGUUCUUGAAGGCUCUUUCUUGAAGUUCUUGGAUUAAGAGCCUUAAAUUCUAAAUUAUCUUAAAGAGGAUGUGAAGGAGUUUUGGAGUUCUUGGAAUUUGGUUAGGGUUACUUGGACAGAAAACUGAUGGAGAAUGAGUGUAUAAUGCUUAAACCGACGUUCAAUCUUAUAUUUUUAUGACUUGGGGUAAUGGUAAAUGGCUUAAUUUCCCCUCUGGUGAUUAAAUUUACAAUUGGAAUAUUGUUUGGGGGCUUGGCGCGAUGCGAUGACAUGCCCAUUGCUACACCUGGCGUGACGCGGUGGACUCGUGUUGAGCUAUUGGAAUUGAAAUCCAAACAAGACCCAAACCUCGUCCGAAAAUUCUGAAACUUCCCCGAGGCAUGCUCCUUAUACCCCUGAAAAUGAAUCAACUCAAAAACCAUCAUCUCAGAGCUUAGAAGGUCAACAUUAAAAUUCUCAAAGUUAAGGAGUCAAAAUAAGGCUAAGUCUUCAACACUUAGCUAAAUUUUUUAGGUUCUAGGUCUCUUAUACAAGCAUUAUGAGCUGAACUAGACUAAGCCUAAUGAAGGGUAUUACAUAAACCUUUUAGGUUCUUGAAAUUUUGGACUGAAAAAGAUGGUUUCAAGGAUAUGAUAAAGCAGAAUUGGGUUCCAUUAGAUUCAUCAGCCUGUGAUGAUGUAUUUAUUAUGUUAAAGCUGAAAAUGAAGAAGACCAAGAUGGUACUGACUGGAUAGAGCAGAGUUAUGUUUGGAGAUAUUUUUAAGCAGUUGAAAAUUAGGGAAGACAUUGUAAAAGUUAAGGAGGAGUUGUUAGAAAAACCUACUACUAUUAAUAGAAUAAUUUUGAAAAGGGCACAGGCUAAGUUGAGGCAAUAUUUAUAUUAUGAGGAAGAAUAUUUGAGACAAAUAAUUGGUAUACAAUAAUUCUCCAAAGGGGACAGAAAUACCAAGUUUUUUCACAGUUUGGUUAAUGGGAGAAGGAAAAGAUUAGAUAUCAAUAGAAUUCAAAGGUUAAAUGGAUCUUGGGUUGAAGGUAUUCUCAAGUGGCUACAGCUGUAAUUGAUUUUUACCAGCAUCAUUUCACAUGUGCUAGUGAAUCUGAAGAUUUCUCUUUAAUUGAUUUGAUUCUUAAAUUGAUCAUAGAGGAAAAUAAUGAGCGUUUGAAGAAGUUAAGAGGGUGGUCUUAGAGUUGAAUGGGGAUAGUGCUUGUGGUCUAAAUGGAUUUGUUGGAUACUUUUUCCAAUUUUGUUGGGAUGUUGGUGGAGAUAAUAUUGUGAAGAAAGAUAAGGCCUUCUUUGAUUAAAGGGCUUUACCUAUAUUUUUUACUCAUACAAACUUGGUCUUAUUUUUAAAUAAAGACAAGGUUUUGACUUUCUCUGAUUUUAAGACCUAUAAGUUUGAGUAACUUUCCUAAUAAGAUUAUUUCUACCAUCAUUCAUGAUAGGUUUGAAGGAGUUCUACCUAAGCCCAUUUUCCAAAAUCAAUCUGGUUUUGGUAAAGGCAGAAGGAUCACUGAAAAUAUGUUACUAGCCCAGGAAAUCAUUACUGAUAUUAGGAAAAGGAGCAAGACUGCAAAUGUGGUAAUUAAGCUUGACAUUGCUAAAGUUUAUGAUAGGGUGGAGUGGAUAUUCCUAAUCAAAGUUUUGGAGCAGAUAGGUUUUUCUAAUAGUUUUUUUUAAUAUGGUUUGGAGACUGCUGGCUAAAAACUGGUACUCUAUUCUUAAAAAUAGGAAAUCACAAGGAUUCUUUCACUCCUCAAGAGGAGUGUAGCAGGGGGAUCCUUUGUCCCCAGCUUUGUUUAUUACUAAGCAAGUCUCUUAACAGUUUGUUUUCUUAUAGUGGUUUUAGGGGUUUUGGCCUUCCUAAAUAGAGUGAACAAAUUAAUCAUCUUGCUUAUACAAAUAAUAUUAUCAACUUUGCUUCUACUGAUAAAUUUUCUUUGCAAUUAAUCAUGCAGAUUCUUGUGGAGUAUGAAAAUCAAUCUAGGUAGAAGAUUAAUAGGAAGAAGAGUGCAUUUUUUUUGCACAACAAGGCUGGACACUCUUAUUCUCAAUUGAUGGAAGAAGUUACUGGCAUUUUAAAGGGCAAAUUUCCUUUAACCUAUCAGGGGUGUCCAAUUGGACAUAGUAGGAAGAGGAAGACUCACUUCAUAGAAUUACUGAAGAAGGUCCAAAAUAAAUUUCAACUAUGGAUAGGUAAAUUGUUAUCUUUUGGAGGCAAAAGUUGUGUUGAUUAAUAAUGUCUGACAAAGCAUUCUAAUUUAACAGUUAUCUGCUCUUAUGCCUCCAAAAUGUGUGAUUCAAGAUCUUCAUCGAUAAUUUGCUAAAUUCCUAUGGAAUUUAAAGGAGGUAGGGAGGAAUAAUCACUGGGUUUCAUAGGUAGAUAUCUAUUUACCGAAAGGAUGGUGGUCUUAGGUUCAAGUAUCUAUUUGAUGUAUCUAAAGACUUAUUUGCAAAGUUGCAGUGGAACUUUAGAACGCAGAAGACUAUGUGGACCAAUUUUAUGUGGAUCAAGAACUAUAAGAGGCAUAGAACUCAAGUUGUUGGAUGGGGAGGGGGUUCUAAAGCAUGGAAGUACCUGUCACUAGCCAAAGACUAUUUUGACCAAGAGAUUAUGGGAACCUAAAUGUGGUCAUGCUAGUAUCUGGUAUGAUAAUUGGACUCAGAAAGGAGCUAUUCAGUACUAUUUGUCCAUUGACUAUAUCGCUAAUAGAGGACUUGAGGAUGUACAUCAACUGAUGAAUAGAAAUGGGUGGAAUAUAAAUCUUCUUAAUGAAAUUUUCCCUGAGGAUUUGUGUGAUGAUGUUGUGAAUAAUCUUGGAAAAACAGGAAGGUAUGAAGAUGGGAUAAGGCAUGGUGGAUGCCUCAAACUUAUCAAAAGUUUACUGUUAGUAGUGCUUGGAACAGUAUAAGGCCAUCUUGUGUGUUCAUAGAUAUAUCAAGUUUGUAUGGGAAAAAGGAAUACCUUUUAAAGUAUCCUUGUUUUUGGAGAUAAUGGAAGAAAAGGCUUCCUAUUGGGACUUUCCUAGUUAAUACAGGGCUGGAAGAAGUGGUUAUGCUGUGAGAUAAUAGUGCAUGAAUCAUAUGAACAUCUGUUUGUGCAAUGCUCUACAACUAAUAAAUUAUGGAUUAAUUUUUCAGAAGUUGCUGAAAUUUAGGGUCCAUUUAUUCAGUUAAAAGAUACAAUCUAAAAAUGGUGGAAUGCUAACUAUUACUUUAAGCUCAGACCAUUAUUUACUGCUACCCCUGCUUUUAUAUUGUGGCAAACCUAGAAUAGGAGAAAAAUUAUCAAACAUGGAGGUAAGAUAUCAAUUCAUGGCGUGAAACUUGAGGUGAAUAGAAAUAUAUAUCUUUGAGCUAAGAUAAGGUAUCCAUGGCUGAGAAACUUACCCAAUAAUUGGCCUAUGAUGGUUAUGAUGUUGGAAGCUUAUAAACCUUAUAUGCAAGGUACUGUUGUGAGUUGGAAGCCCCCUAUUAAUGGUUUUCUCAAGUGUGACUCAGAUAGAGCUUCUAGGGGUAAUCCUAUACCUAGUGGAGGUGCUUUUUGUAUUAGAGAUACUGCAAGUGAUUUCAUUUAUGCUAGUUCUUUUAAGUUGGUACUAUAACCAUUCUGGAGGCAGAAGUGUGUAUAGAGGUUUGGAAUAUUGUAUCAGUAGAAGUUUACUGUCUGUAAUCAUGAAAACUGACUCAUUCAUGUUAAAUAACAUCCUUGAUCUAAUAUGGGAAGUUCCUUGGAGAUUGCAGUUGAUAUUAAGAGUACUAAAGGGUUGAUGAAACAAUUCCAGGUGAAGGUGGUGCAUCCAUUCAAGGAAGGGAACAAACUGACAGAUUUUUUUACUAACGAAGUUUUCUUUUUUGCAUGUUAUAAAAUAAAGAAUAUACAUCUUUACAAGAUAUUACAUGGAAGGAAAAGCAAUCUAUGAAUUAGAAAAGCAACAAAUGCCCAAAAUAAACAUUGUCAAAUGCCAAAAUAGGAAUUUUCAUACAUGAAUGCAACUAAGACGAGAUACAGAACAGAUCAAAGACAUCAGAUUGCAGCAUACGCACAGUGGGUCCGAAUUCAAAAUAAGAAAAAACAAACCACAUGGACAGUAACAGUAGAAUUGAUUUUUUAUUAAGGUUUGACAUGGUAUCUCAGUGUUUGAAUUCAACACGAACGUAUGGAACAUGGUUUAUUUCAAGAUCUUGAAUAAGUUUAGCAUAUUACCUUACCUGUGUCUAUUCAAAUCAGUUGAAUUACUACAUUUAAUCAGUAGUAUCAGCUCCCUGUUAAGCUUAAUUUGGUAAAGAGACAGUUUAGUUGAUUUGGUUUCCAUAGAUUAUAGGUAAUUCAAGGGUCGAGGUAUGAAUACCUCUUACCUGAGGAUUAAGCAACCAGAUGCGGUCUAAGAGGAGUUGAAAAAGUCUUCCAAGGAUGCGAUUUCAUGACAUUUAUGAGACAGAUGAAAAUGCCCAAAAUAAAAUCACCCAUGACUCAGAUUUUGACCAUCUCUAACUUGGUUUCCUUAUAUCAGUGUUUGAUUUGUACACCUGAUAAAUCGAUCGUAGUAGUGAAGAAGAUGAAGGCCAGCGGCAUCUUUCUAGAGAAUUCUUUAGUUCAUUUCCUAAUUUCCUUCAAAUUUUUGUUUUAUGUUUUUAUUUUCUUUCUUGACAAAUUCGGUUUGCG